rnacentral:rRNA from 1 species
CCUACGGGAGGCAGCAGUGAGGAAUAUUGGUCAAUGGGCGCGAGUCUGAACCAGCCAAGUAGCGUGAAGGAUGACUGCCCUACGGGUUGUAAACUUCUUUUAUAAAGGAAUAAAGCGAGGCACGUGUGCCUUUUUGCAUGUACUUUAUGAAUAAGGAUCGGCUAACUCCGUGCCAGCAGCCGCGGUAAUACGGAGGAUCCGAGCGUUAUCCGGAUUUAUUGGGUUUAAAGGGAGCGUAGAUGGGUUGUUAAGUCAGUUGUGAAAGUUUGCGGCUCAACCGUAAAAUUGCAAUUGAUACUGGCAGCCUUGAGUACAGUUGAGGUAGGCGGAAUUCGUGGUGUAGCGGUGAAAUGCUUAGAUAUCACGAAGAACCCCGAUUGCGAAGGCAGCCUACUAAACUGUGACUGACAUUGAUGCUCGAAAGUGUGGGUAUCAAACAGGAUUAGAUACCCCUGUAGUC